rnacentral:rRNA from 1 species
UCCUACGGGAGGCAGCAGUGGGGAAUAUUGCGCAAUGGGGGGAACCCUGACGCAGCAACGCCGCGUGAAGGAUGAAGGCCUUCGGGUUGUAAACUUAUUUGAUUGGGGAAGAAAUUUGACGGUACCCAAAGAACAAGCCACGGCUAACUACGUGCCAGCAGCCGCGGUAAUACGUAGGUGGCGAGCGUUGUCCGGAAUUACUGGGUGUAAAGGGCGUGUAGGCGGGGGAGCAAGUCAGAUGUGAAAUCCCGGGGCUCAACUCCGGAGUUGCAUCUGAAACUGUUUUUCUUGAGUGCUGGAGAGGAAAGCGGAAUUCCUAGUGUAGCGGUGAAAUGCGUAGAUAUUAGGAGGAACACCAGUGGCGAAGGCGGCUUUCUGGACAGUAACUGACGCUGAGGCGCGAAAGCGUGGGGAGCAAACAGGAUUAGAUACCCUGGUAGUCCACGCCGUAAACGAUGGAUACUAGGUGUAGGAGGUAUCGACCCCUUCUGUGCCGGAGUUAACACAAUAAGUAUCCCACCUGGGGAGUACGGCCGCAAGGCUGAAACUCAAAGGAAUUGACGGGGGCCCGCACAAGCAGUGGAGUAUGUGGUUUAAUUCGAAGCAACGCGAAGAACCUUACCAGGGCUUGACAUCCCUUGACAGUCCUAGAGAUAGGAUAUCCCUUCGGGGCAAGGAGACAGGUGGUGCAUGGUUGUCGUCAGCUCGUGUCGUGAGAUGUUGGGUUAAGUCCCGCAACGAGCGCAACCCCUGUUGUUAGUUGCCAUCAUUAAGUUGGGCACUCUAGCGAGACUGCCGGUGACAAAUCGGAGGAAGGUGGGGACGACGUCAAAUCAUCAUGCCCCUUAUGUCCUGGGCUACACACGUACUACAAUGGCUGUUACAGAGGGAAGCUAAUUCGCGAGGAGGAGCAAAUCCCCAAAGGCAGCCCCAGUUCGGAUUGCAGGCUGAAACUCGCCUGCAUGAAGUAGGAAUUGCUAGUAAUGGCAGGUCAGCAUACUGCCGUGAAUACGUUCCCGGGCCUUGUACACACCGCCCGUCACACCAUGAGAGUCUGCAACACCCGAAGUCAGUAGUCUAACCGCAAGGAGGACGCUGCCGAAGGUGGGGGCCGAUGAUUGGGGGUGAAGUCGUAACAAGGUAGCCA